rnacentral:lncRNA from 1 species
CUUCCCUGGCCAGUGUUUGCUGUGGUAGGACCCCUAUCAUGGUGGCCGUGAGACCCCCUCAUGUCUCUGGAUGAAGAAGGGGAACCUCAGGCCUGGGAGACCUAGAGGCCCCUGGGACAGGCCACUUGGUGUGGUAGGUCCCUCUUGACAGUGUCACAAGACUGUCCUGUGUUCUUGGUGAGAGAAAGGAUGUCAGACAGUGAGGGGGCAGGGUGGUUCCCUUGGCCUCUGGUUGUUGGCAGGGCUCCCAGUGAGUCCCCUUGCCAGUGGUGGUACCAUGCUCACCUGGUGUGUCACAGGGAUGCUGUCAGACCAGGGGAAGAUCCAGCCUACUUGGGUUUUGUUCUGUUGUAGGUUUGGGGUCUGGAAAUUCUUCUAUUGGGUGGGAAGAUAUAGGAUGCCCGCUGCUGUUCCUCCAGUCCUGGGGUAACAAACCAUUUCACCCUUCUCUAACCACCUUUCAGAGUUCUCCCUUGGUCCCCUUGUGCAUUACUUUCAGGGUUUCUACUUGUACUUAUUGGCAAAAGCAGGGAUAAACAGGUCUAUACUAUCUUGUCCAGACCAGAAGUCUGCUUAACCUAUAAAUGUCAAGGCAAAACAGUAAAUAAAUAGAGUGGAUAAAUCCUAAAUCAGGAGAGUGAAGGGGAUAAAAAAGAUCAAGAAUAAGAACAAUAUCAAACACUAUAGAGUGCUGACUAUGUACUAGGCAUACACACUUACACACAAAUACACAUGCACCUCCAAUCUUAUGAAUUUAAUUUCCAUCUCACUGAUCAUUUCCAAAUUCAUAUCCAAACAUCCAGCUUAUUCCCUGGACUCCAGGCCUGCAUGAAAUUGCCUCAUUAAAAUCUCUACUUGGAUAUCAAAGCAGUUCAAACUUAACAUGUCCAAAACCAAACUUUUGAUCUUUCCCCAAAACCAACUCCUCCUGCAGAGUUCUCAUAUUCGUAAAUGACUUCUUCCCUCCAGUUGCUCAAGUCAACAAUCCUGGCAUCACUAUUUCACUCCCAUCUUCCUCUCGUCAGUCAGAUCCAAUCCAUCAGCAAAUCCUGUUGGUGCUACCCUUAGAACAGUUCAAGAAUCUCCACUUCUUUGUAUUUUCACUGCUAACAACCUGCGCCAAGCCAUCCUUGGAUAUCCCUGGAUAUCAUGAUCAUCUCUUGCUUAAUUACUAUAAUGGCUUCCUAUAUGUCCUCCUUGCUUCAUCCUCUGUUCCCUUCUGCCCUUUCAGCACAGCAGCCAGAAUGAUCUUGCUGAAAGUUCAGUCGGAUGCACUCACUCUCCUGCCUUAGGUUCCUAUGGCUUCCCCUUCCAUUCGAGUAAACCCAUCGUAGGGCUUACUAGACCUUGUGUGUUGUAACCCCCUGGCCAUAACCUCUCUUGUUUCUAAGGCUGGAU